GAGUUUGAUCCUGGCUCAGGACGAACGCUGGCGGCGCGCCUAACACAUGCAAGUCGAACGAGCGAGAGAGAGCUUGCUUUCUCGAGCGAGUGGCGAACGGGUGAGUAACGCGUGAGGAACCUGCCUCAAAGAGGGGGACAACAGUUGGAAACGACUGCUAAUACCGCAUAAGCCCACGGGUCGGCAUCGACCAGAGGGAAAAGGAGCAAUCCGCUUUGAGAUGGCCUCGCGUCCGAUUAGCUAGUUGGUGAGGUAAUGGCCCACCAAGGCGACGAUCGGUAGCCGGACUGAGAGGUUGAACGGCCACAUUGGGACUGAGACACGGCCCAGACUCCUACGGGAGGCAGCAGUGGGGAAUAUUGCACAAUGGGGGAAACCCUGAUGCAGCGACGCCGCGUGGAGGAAGAAGGUCUUCGGAUUGUAAACUCCUGUUGUUGAGGAAGAUAAUGACGGUACUCAACAAGGAAGUGACGGCUAACUACGUGCCAGCCGCCGCGGUAAUAC
rnacentral:rRNA from 1 species